rnacentral:lncRNA from 1 species
AGUACAUUGUUAUUAACUAUUGUCACCAUGUGGCACAAUAGAUCUCUGAAACUUCUUCCUCCCACCCAACUGAAAGUUUGCAUUCUUUCACCAUCUCCCCAUUCCAACAGAUAACCACCACUCUACUCUCUGCUUCUGUGAGUUCCACUUUGUUAGCUUCUACACGUGAGAUCACGCAGUGUUUGUUUUCUUGUGCUCUAGGCUGGAUCUUGGUCAUCAGCCCAAUGACAAGCAGAGCAAAGGCCCAGAAGUUAGGGAGACCAGGGCUCAGUGUGGCUGGCACUGAGAACUGAGCUUCGAGUGUGGGCCCCCACAUACAUUUAGGACUCUAGCCAAUUUUCCCUUCAGAACCACGAUGAAGAAAUGAAAGCCAAGGCCAAGAAAAUCUUUAAUGUUCUGUUCCUCCCCUGUUUGGGAAGCAGAGUGGUCUGAUGGCUCCAACAGAAUCUGUGCCAUAACCAAGUCUCAUCUGGGGCAAGGUACAUAACUGCUCAUGAAAUAGGAGUGAUCACAGUGCUUCCCCCAGAGGGUUUUUGUGAGGGUUAAAUAAGAAUUUUGUGGGACAUAGUAAUCACUCAGUAAAUGUUCUGGUCUGAGAGUGACCAAAAGGAUGGAACUAGAGAUAUUUGGGCAUGAAUGUCUGUGUUCCCCUAAAAUUCAUAUGUGGAAAUCCUAACCCCCAAGGCAAUCGUGGGGCCUUUGGGAGGUGACUAGGCCAUGAAGGUAGGGGGCCCCAUUAAUGGGAUUAGUGUCUCAUAGAAGAGAUCCUAGAGUCACCCCUAGGCCUUUCCCCUCACUGUGAGGUUACAGUGAGAAGAUGACCUUCUGUGAACCAGGAAGCAGGCUGCUGGCAUCUUGAUCUCAGACUUUCUAGCCUACAGAACUGUGAGAGAUUUCUGUAGCUUAUAAGCCACCCAGUCUAUACUUCGUAUAACAGACCAAAGACAAUAUUAAAAAUAACUUCCUGAUUAGAAGCACUAUGAAAUGCUAGACUACGCAUGGAACCAAGAAGUUUUAUUUAUUUAUUUAUUAUUUAUUUUUUAUUUAUUUUUUUUUGAGACGGAGUCUCGCUGUGUCGCCCAGGCUGGAGUGCAGUGGCUCGAUCUCGGCACACUGCAAGCUCCGCCUCCCGGGUUCACGCCAUUCUCCCGCCUCAGCCUCCGAGUAGCUGGGACUACAGGCGCCCGCCACCACGCCCGGCUAGUUUUUUUGUAUUUUUAGUAGAGACGGGGUUUCACCAUGUUAGCCAGGAUGGUCUCGAUCUCCUGACCUCAUGAUCCACCCGUCUCGGCCUCCCAAAGUGCUGGGAUUACAGGCUUGAGCCACCGCGCCCGGCCCUAUUUAUUUAUUUUUUGAGACAGAGUCUCACUCUGUUGCCUAGGCUGGAGCGCAGUGGCUCAGUCUCGGCUCACUGCAACUUCCGCCUCCCGGGUUCAAGUGAUUCUCUUGCCUCAGCCUCCUGAGUAGUUGGGAUUACAGGCACCAACCGCCACGCCCGGUUAAUUUUUGUGUUUUUAGUAGAGAUGGGGUUUCACCAUGUUGGCAGGCUGGUCUCGAAAUCCUGACCUCAGGUGAUCUGCCCACCUCGGCCUCCCAAAGGCAUAAGCCACCGUUCCUGGCCAACCAAGAGGUUUUAAGGAAAAAAGCCAUAAACUUUUGGUGGUUAAUUGACUGUGACCCUAAACAGAGGCAGGGGCUGCGUGCAAUGACUUCUCAGGAUCUCUUUCAGCCUACAGGUUCCUGGAAUGCAUUUCAGCUAACACAACAACAGUGAUGUCCCUUGCUAUUGAGAACCCUGGGAACAGCUCAGCUCCAUGGUCCAGCCAUAUAAAUCUGAUAAAAAUAGGAGCUGAAAUACCAUCCUGGAGUUGCUAUUUUUAAAAGCAUCUGAGAUGCUGGAUGGGGUGUAUUUCUUCCUCAAACACAUCUUGCUGUUCCCUCCUCUUGGUGGGCAGGAUACUAACGUGGCACAUGAGACAGGAGCUGUUCCAUGCUGCUGCUCACACCCACUCCUGCCAGAGAAGGGCCGCAGGGCCAGGGCUUCCCAGGUCUAGAUGCACCUGCUCCUCCCUCUGCUCCUGAGGCCCCUCUGGUUGCCCCAGCACAGAGGUGUCCUGCCACUUCCACCAAGGAGAAACACAGGAGAGUUUGGGAGGCAAAGGAAAUGGGAAUGGAGGCAGCACUGGUGGCUUGGAAGGGGCAUGUUCCUCAGGUUACCUUGGCCCCACUUUGGCACAGUUAACAUCCAAAAGAAAUGGUCCCCAUGGGCCAAAGCCCUGCUUACCCCAUCCUACUGCCUCUUGCUGAGCUGCUCA